rnacentral:misc_RNA from 1 species
CAUCCGUGUUUUGUGUAUUCGCUUGUGUGUGCAGCGCGGAACAGGGCUGACGAUUUUGUUCCUCGCGAGUCCGUCGCCCUCCCUCUCCCUGUCGCGCUCUUUGUGAAAUCUGAGGAGAGCGAGAUCAACUCAGAGACACAUCAGGCACGAUCGUCUUUACACGCACGCGCACACGCACGAAGGCUGCUGUUGUGCACACUGUUGUAGUGGUUCUUGCCAACACAGAGCAUAUACACACGUAGACGUGCAAAAGGGGUAUUAAUGUAAGCAAACAAAAAGAAGUGAAGGUCAAUCACACCGAGGCGUCGUUGUUUUUUCUUCGCUAGAAUCUGCGCGCUUUUCCACAGUCGCGCAUGAUUCUGUGCGCUGCCGCGAGCGCGAUUCCGACCUUUACCCUCGUUUCUUUCCGUCGAUCUUCUCUUUCUCUCUUUCUCUCUUUCUCUCUUUAGUGCCCCUUUCCGCCUGGGGUGGCGCUUUUCUUCGUGCCGCUUGGCCGUCUCGCUCUCCCUGUCUCGCCAUCAGCCUUUGUCCGAGCCGUCCGCGUGUGUGGAGGCGUGCUGCAAAGAAUUGAUACUCCUGCCGACAGCGUAUUUGCUCGGUUGGUGUUUGUUGCGGAGCUGCGGUGUGGGUUUCAGGUGCGAUUUUUUCUUCAUCUCUGUGUGACCCCUGCUCUUGAUCCUCCUGUUAUCCCUCCUCCUUUGGUCAACCCUCCCUUUCUUGCUGGCACAACGUCGUGGUUUGGUGAGCUGUUCCAGGGCUGGAUGGGUUCGCUCGUCAUGGGGCGCUGCAGGCGUGGUGCAGAGGAGACGUUCGAGUUCCGGGAGGAGUACGCCCUACUUGACGCCCCCAUUGCCAAUGCCGAACACAUCCCUCUGCGCUUGAGCCCUCAGGAACGCAAGAUACAACGCCUCAUGCGGGGCGUCAUUCUUGCCUCCUCCUACACCGACAAGGUCGACUCCGCAUCUGCCUUGAAGCUCAAGAAUCGCGAGCUGCUCAUCGUGAAGGAGCUCACGAACGCACUGACGGGACUCAUCGUAGGUCUCGACAUGCGCAAAGCCGCAUCCUUCAUGCGCGACCACGAGUUCACGCCGUACCAGCACGAGAUCCGUGCUGCGAUUGAGAUGUGCCGGCGCUACAAGAUGAUGAACCCCGAUCUACUACGCACCGACUACGUCAAGUUCCUUUACAUGAUUCAAGAUGCGGUGCAGAGCGACAUGGCACGCGAGGCACUCGGCUUCAAUGUCGUGAAGGAGUUGGUGACGGUGGGCCGGUACUGCGAGACGCACAACAUGCAGGACAUCUUGCAGGACACACGGCUGCCUCACUGCAUCACGCCGGUUCCCGUCAUGAAGGACCGCAACAUGCUGAACCGGUGCCUGCGUGGCAAGGACGUGGUUGUGGGGAAGCUCGUGAAGCAGUACGCCAGCGAGCACCGCAUGCAUGAGGACAAUGUGGAAGUAGUGGUCCGAAGCCUCAACGAUGCCAACUGCUUUUCAAAUGACAAUGUUGAGACAUCCGAGCGACUGCUGGAAUUAUUGAAGCAGUACUUCACGCCGAUCUCGUGUACUGAGCUGACGAGCUUGGCGAUCGACGAGGGCGCCGACGGCAGCCGCCUGACACACAAUCACAAGAUGCAGUACAUCUUUGUUCUGCAGAGUCUCUCGCUGUGGAAGAACAUGUGCCGAAAGAUGUACUUGCUGUGGUCUCUCGCCGAGGAGGAUAUGCUGAAUCCGAACGAGAAGUACGAGCUGCGCAUGACGGGGCAGGGGCUGCAGCGGGUGCAAAAGGCGCCACAGCUUUUCAAGGCGAUUCAGCAGGUGCUGCAGGAGACGAAGGAGGAGCUGGGUGAGUGGGUCGGGUCGGAGCGGAUUCACCUCGGUGACGAUCAGGUGCCAAACGCGUUCCACUUCAUCGACAAGUAUGGCCAAGUGUCCCGCAUCAUAAUCCCAAUUCUCCGCACCUUAGGCCAUAUCGACCACCUGGAGCGACACGCCGAACACGCGGCCUACCUGCGCGAGGUCUGGGGUGGUGGUGAGCAGGCCAAGCGUGCCAUUUUGCGCGACUUCUUCCGGCACGGCUUCGACGGCAGCGGCGGGGACAACAUGGACGACGCGGGCAGCUGCAUUGAUGGCCGGCUCACCAGUGCGUGGAACUGGUGCAACAACAUCCGCUUCAAGGAGUUUUACCCACUCUUCCUCUUCUCCGGCUUUAGCUCCUUUGACGGGGAUAUGAGCUUGUAAUGUGCGGCGGGGCUCAUUAGUGGUGCUAACGGUGUAUUCAGAUGCAGGUGCUGGGCUUGUCUCGAGUUCGUCAAAUGCCGCACCAAAGGUUCGGCACGCCGCCGAGGAGCCGCUAACUUUGCGCUCCGUCUGUCUCUCCAGUGGUGCUGCGUUUCGUACUCUGUACGUGACUCCUUCUGUUCCUUGUUUUGCUUUUUUUUUUGCUUACAGACUCCAGGCUACCGCAUGCCCUUCUCGACUUGGAGUGAAGUGUACCAGCGAAAAG